CGGGGGCGGCCGGGGUAUUAGCAGCAGGCUAAGCGCCUGUCAUGUCACCGUCAGGAUUACGCCCCAAGACAACUGGGAAGACAGAAAUAAGCCUUGCGGAGAAUUAAUGCUCUUUUGACGAAGUGGAGGAGGAACUUGAGUGGGACCUCUUAGGAAUCACCAGCCCCUGUGAACCCCUUUGGAGAAACACCCUGAUGUCCACCCCAUCAGAGAUCCUGGCCAGGACCCCGUCUCUUAGUCUCUUACAGAGGGACAGGCCAUUUACUCCGGGGGUGGGUCCUGCCCACCCUGCCCCCAGGAGCUGUUGUCCUGCCAUGCCCAGAGGCCCAUCGUGUCCCCUGUUUGGUCCCUUCGGCCCCUAAGUGAGUUUCUCUGAGUGUUUCCCCAGUCUGGUCAUUAACCCUCUGAGGUCCAGGGGCAGGAAACACACUUUCACUGACUGAGGCAUGAUCACGCAUUUCUUCAAAUAUCAUAAAGUUAAUUCAUGGCAAAUAAAUUAUUUCUUAUAUAUUUGUUUUGCCAUUACACUCAUAUUUAUUUUAAUGUAUAUUGUAAAUAUGUCCGAUUUAUCUGAAAUUUGUAAUUUGACAUCAAAGUAUAGACAAUGCAAAAUGCAGUUUGGAACACUUGCAGAAACAUCAUAAAAGUAGAUAGUAAGCAAUGGUGGCAGUUUGUUUUGAUCCCAGAUGUCUGAUCACCAAAUUAUUGGCUACAUGAAGAUGACUAAAUGGUGUAGUGGCAACAUUCAUUUGGAAAAAUA